GUGGCAAGCGUUGUCCGGAUUUAUUGGGCGUAAAGCGAGUGCAGGCGGUUCAAUAAGGCUGAUGUGAAAGCCCUCGGCUUAACCGAAGAAGUGCAUCGGAAACCGGGCGACUUGAGUGCAGAAGAGGACAGUGGAACUCCAUGUGUAGCGGUGGAAUGCGUAGAUAUAUGGAAGAACACCAGUGGCGAAGGCGGCUCUCUGGUCUGUAACUGACGCUGAGGCUCGAAAGCAUGGGUAGCGAACA
rnacentral:rRNA from 1 species